rnacentral:lncRNA from 12 species
UAACAUUUCAUCAGCAAGGGGAGGGGGGUGGCUUUUCCCAGAAAAGGAGAUAGAUUUUUUUUUAAAAUCUAUUUCCUUCACUCCUUUAUUCACAUCUCGCUCUCUAACCCAUUGCCAUCUGGAUUCUGUCUUAAUCAGACCAAUAUGGCCAAGCUGUGGCUCCCGAGGAAAUACUAGAGUUGCUGUGAUUUUUCUCUUGAGCAGCUGAAGUCUAGCUAGUGCUGCCAGGGGAGCGUGUAGAGACCCUUCCCCAUCCCAGUGGCCUGCACAGCCAAGGCACCUGGACUGCCAGGACGCACCUCUCCUCUCUCCUCCUGCCAUAAAAUUCCUGGCAGAGAGCAAGAUGAAGCUCACUUCCCUCAAGUGUCAGAGGGGUAAGAUGUUAACUUCUCUUAUUCAAGGGGGAAAUGGACUUGAUUGACAGAUGAGAGAGAGCUGCUACUCAUUUACCCACCGAAAGAUAUUAUAUGGCUUUAAGCAGUGUUCAGGAGCACGAGAAGGUAAUAAACUAUGUGUGUAAGCUCAGUUCUCAGGGGAGGGAGAGCUGCUGCAAAACCCACACUCAAAUUGUUUCUUUCGUGCUCCUUUUUUAGGCCCUCUGUGCAUGCCAUGCUUAAUAAAGGCAAUACAAAGGUGUGUGCUGCGACUUCAGCAUCCAUCCUGCUCUCUGCGCCGGGAGCCUGACCCACAUGAGAUGCAUGGACGUGUUCUCUCACUCUGCAGUUAGAUGAACAGCCGCCGUCCACAGGUCAUUGGAAGGACAGGAAGCCUAGGGUCAGGGCACUUCUUUUUAUGACUUCUUCCUACCUUGUCGCUACAUGUUGGCUGUUCCCCUUGAUUAAAA